rnacentral:rRNA from 1 species
UACGGAAGGCAGCAGUGGGGAAUAUUGCACAAUGGGCGAAAGCCUGAUGCAGCUAUGCCGCGUGUAUGAAGAAGGCCUUAGGGUUGUAAAGUACUUUCAUCGGGGAGGAAAAAACAAAACUAAUAAUUUUAUUUCUUGACGUUACCCGAAAAAGAAGCACCGGCUAACUCCGUGCCAGCAGCCGCGGUAAUACGGAGGGUGCUAGCGUUAAUCAGAAUUACUGGGCGUAAAGAGCACGUAGGUGGUUUUUUAAGUCAGAUGUGAAAUCCCUGGGCUUAACCUAGGAACUGCAUUUUGAAACUGAAAUACUAGAGUAUCGUAGAGGGAGGUAGAAUUCUAGGUGUAGCGGUGAAAUGCGUAGAUAUCUGGAGGAUACCUGUGGCGAAAGCGGCCUCCUAAACGAAUACUGACACUGAGGUGCGAAAGCGUGGGGAGCAAACAGGGAUUAGAUACC